ACGGCUCAGUAACACGUAGCUAACCUACCCUUAGGUUGAGAAUACCCUCGGGAAACUGAGGUUAAUACUCGAUAGAAGAUUUGCCCUGGAAAGACUAAUCUUUGAAAGUUGCCUAAGGAUGGGGCUGCGGCGGAUUAGGUUGUUGGCGGGGUAAUAGCCCACCAAGCCGAAGAUCCGUAAGGGCUCUUAGCGGAGAGGCCCUGAGAGGGAAUCUGAGACACUAUUCCCAGCCCUACGGGGUGCAGCAGUUAGGAAUAAUCUACAAUGCGCGCAAGCGUGAUAGUUUGAGCCAGAGUGCUUUCCUAUUUGGAAAGCUUUUGCCAAAUGUAAAAAGUUUGGCGAAUAAGGACUGGGUAAGACGAGUGCCAGCCGCCGCGGUAAUACUCGCGGUCCAAGUCGCAGCCAUUUUUAUUGGGUCUAAAACAUCCGUAGCUUGCUUAGUAAGUUUCUUGUGAAAUUUUGUCUCUCAAAGAUAAAGCGUGCAAGAAGUACUGCUGAGCUAGAGACUGGAAGACGUAACGAGUACGUUCGGAGUAGCGGUAAAAUGUGUUAAUCCCGGACGGACUAACAAUAGCGAAGGCACGUUACGAGGACAGUUCUGACAGUAAGGGAUGAAAGCUAGGGGCGCAAAACGGAUUAGAUACCCGUGUAGUCCUAGCAGUAAACACUGCACACUAAACAUUAGUACCUCUUCGAGAGGUAUUAGUGCUGUAGGGAAGCCGAAGAGUGUGCUACCUGGGAAGUAUAGACGCAAGGCCGAAACUUAAAGGAAUUGGCGGGGGAGCAC
rnacentral:rRNA from 1 species